AUGUAAAUUCCUACAACAUAGCGUUAAUGCACUAAAUCCCAUUAGAACUUCGUAGUUAAGCACGCUCAGGCAAAGUUAAGUCUUAUUAUGUUACAUGCCUAUGGCAUUUUAUAAA
rnacentral:rRNA from 1 species